rnacentral:rRNA from 1 species
UACAGAGGGGGCAAGCGUUGUUCGGAAUUACUGGGCGUAAAGGGCGCGUAGGCGGCCUGCUAAGUCGAACGUGAAAUCCCCGGGCUCAACCCGGGAACUGCGUCCGAUACUGACAGGCUUGAAUCCGGGAGAGGGAUGUGGAAUUCCAGGUGUAGCAGUGAAAUGCGUAGAGAUCGGGAGGAACAUCAGUUGCGAAGGCGGCUCUCUGGACCAGCACUGACACUGAGGCACGAAAGCGUGGGGAGCAAACAGG